rnacentral:tRNA from 1 species
GCCCGGGUAGCUCACUCGGUUGAGCGUUAGGCUUUUAACCUAACGGUGCUGGGUUCGAGCCCUUGCUCGGGCG